rnacentral:rRNA from 1 species
CUACGGGGCGCAGCAGUGAGGAAUAUUGGUCAAUGGGCGAGAGCCUGAACCAGCCAUCCCGCGUGCAGGAUGACGGCCCUAUGGGUUGUAAACUGCUUUUCCAUACCAAGAAACCUGAUUACGUGUAAUUAGUUGCCGGUAGUAUGGGAAUAAGCAUCGGCUAACUCCGUGCCAGCAGCCGCGGUAAUACGGAGGAUGCAAGCGUUAUCCGGAUUCGUUGGGUUUAAAGGGUGCGCAGGUGGGCUUGUAAGUCAGUGGUGAAAUGUUGCCGCUUAACGGUAAAAUUGCCAUUGAUACUGCAAGUCUUGAAUAUAGUUGAGGUAGGCGGAAUGUGUUGUGUAGCGGUGAAAUGCAUAGAUAUGACACAGAACACCGAUUGCGAAGGCAGCUUACUAAGCUAUUAUUGACGCUGAGGCACGAAAGCGUGGGGAUCGAACAGGAUUAGAUACCCUCGUAGUC